rnacentral:lncRNA from 1 species
GUGUUCUAGCCAAAGACAUCCUUCAGACCUUUCUGAAAAUGAAGGAUCCAGGGUCACCAAUUGCCUCUCCUUCAUGAUCCCUCUCUUCCCCCGCUUCCCUUGCUGAUGUGUGAGUAACUGUCCAUCUUCUCCCCAGAUGACCAGGCAUUGAUGUACCCUCAGGAAGUCCACACGCUCAAGGAGGCCGUCCCUGCUGGCUGCUGCUCACAUGGUUUCUGGGCCCCUGGCACUCCGGUAGGCUGAAAUGGAGACUUGGGGAAGGGAGAACAGCACCUGUUCUUUGUCCUUGGCGUUUUCUGGGCAGCUUACACAGCCCUGGCUUCUGUUCUGGCCUUGAAGUCUUGGGUUCAUUCAGUUCAGGACAAUGUCAAAGGAGCCUGGGGCCCACUGCCCAGGAUUGGGGGGUUGUUGUGAAUAUGUGAGCUCUCCUGUCUUUUGCUUGUUCUCUUGCUAAACUUGGGGCACUAGGUAUGCUGGGGACUGUCGAAGGUGUCACUGGCUUUGCCCUAGGGCCCAAUGUGGAAGGUACGCUUUGGGUUCUUUGUCUCUGCCUAAUAGGUUAGGGGAACAAGGAGUGGAAGAGUUAGUUCCUGACUGAGCCCUUUGGCAGGUGCUUGCUGUGGGGCUCUUGAGUGUUAUUUUUUGGGGCAUGUCACACCCAUGUUCACUCACAGUGAGGUGUGGAUCUGGGAAGAGCAUUUGUGUUAUGGGAGGGGAGGACAGGGUGUGGUAGGCAUGACUGCUUCCAGGGCUCUGCUCCUGUGGGAGACAAAGCUGGGUGCUCUGGGAGGGGUAGGAGCACAAACACCUGGUGGUGGCAAGGUUUAGAGCUGUUCAGCUACUUACAGAGACUGUACCCUUAACAGCAGGUACAGAACUGCCUUGGGACGAUCAUUUCUUUCCUUCUGGGGCCCAUUGUAUACUUCCUUGCCUUUUUUUUCCCUGUGGGGUGUCUUGCUUGGCAGAGAAACGGCUCAGGUUGGGAGUCUGGUUGGACCUCAUGAGCACACACUGCACCAGUGGGCUGAUAAGUUCCUGUGGAGACCAGAGGCAUCUGUGUGUUUGUUACUUAAUGACCUCAAUUAGUGUUUGUGCCAGCCCGUCUAGCAGGGGCCAGCUGGCUGCCUUUCCCAGUCACAGACAGUUAUGGCCCUUAGAAAAGGUGCAGGGUUUAGGGGCUGGGGGUAGUGCCCCAGUGCUUGCCCCAACAAGGUCCUUCUCAAUGUAGGUGGGCUCUGCAAAGACCAGAAGCCAUGGGAGAGACUACAGUAUGGUGGUGGUGGUGUGGGAAGCAGGAUUGGUACUCUUAGCACAUCAGAAAGCCUGAGCCACCUCUUAAGAGGUACCCCAGUGUAGAGUAGAGGUUUCAGACCAGCAGAUGUGUUUGAUUUGGCCACACAGUAUUUUUAAAAAGAACCUUCUUCUAGUAGAGGGAGAUGACUAUGAAAAUCUGAAUUUCUAACUUGUCUAGAAAGUUGAAAACAGCCCUGUGGGCCUGCAUGCUCCAGAGGGCUAGGUCUGUUUUACCAAGGGCUCUAGCUCCCCUACAGAGGCCUCUGUUCCUCAAAUUCCAUAUCCACCUGCUAGUCAUUUUGGGUUCCCUGCUUGUCCAUGUGGGCCUAUGAUUGACUUCUUUUAGUGUGGAGAUAGUAGCCUAUGUUCUGAAGUCAAAUUCAGACCCCAGUUUUUCUGCUUGGCACCCUCCUUGCUUCAUUUUCUCAUCAGUGCAAAUAGGUGUGGGGGAAUGCUGUGUCCUUUCUCAAACAGUUUAAGUCUUUCAUGAGGUGAUCUGUAUGUACAGUGCCUGCACACAGCAGGAUUGAGUUUCUUCUCUGUGCCUAAGGGGGUAGAACUGAGUGCAGGUCUCAGCUACCUGCUUAGUGCAUAAUUCCUUGAGUGCCAUCCAGAGUUCCACUGUGCUCUAGGACCCUGGAGUGAGUUAACGUGUAUGCCUGUUCUUGCCUACAGGUGGUGUGCGUGGGCAGGGCGUGGGGACAUGGGGCCCGACAUGGAGCUGCCCAGCCACUCAAAGCAGCUCCUGCUACAACUGAACCAGCAGAGGACCAAGGGCUUCCUGUGUGAUGUCAUCAUCAUGGUGGAGAACUCAAUUUUCCGGGCCCAUAAGAAUGUUCUGGCUGCCAGUAGCAUCUACUUCAAAUCCCUGGUCCUACACGACAACCUCAUCAAUCUGGACACAGACAUGGUCAGCUCCACAGUAUUCCAGCAGAUCCUUGACUUCAUCUACACAGGCAAGCUGCUGCCCAGCGACCAGCCAGCUGAGCCCAACUUCAGCACUCUUCUCACUGCCGCCAGCUACCUCCAGCUGCCUGAGUUGGCAGCCCUCUGCCGCCGCAAACUCAAGCGAGCUGGCAAGCCCUUUGGCUCUGGACGGGUUGGGGCUGCUGGCAUGGGGCGACCAUCCCGUAGCCAGCGGCUAUCCACAGCCUCUGUUAUCCAGGCUCGGUAUCCAGGGCUUGCGGACGGGCGCAAAGGAACCCACACCCACCAGGAGCUCCCACUAGCCAAAGGCUCAGAUGAUGAGCUCUUUCUCAGUGGCUCCACCCAGGAGAGUACACAUAGCCUAGGCCGGGGGGUCUGCCCAACCAGUGGAGAGGUAGGCCUAGGGGGCUGCAGUAGCAGCACCAAUGGAAGCACUGGGGGCUGUGAACAGGAGCUGGGUCUUGACCUGUCCAAGAAGAGCCCACCCCUGCCCCCCACAACUCCCGUACCCCACCUCACCCCUGAUGAUCCAGCCCAACUGAGCGACAGUCAGCAGGACUCACCACCUUCGGCCUCUGCCCUUCCCAUUGCCAAUAGUGCCUCUUAUGCUGAGCUGGGAGGCACCCCUGAUGAGUCUAUGGAUCUGGAGGGGGCUGAGGAUAACCAUCUGAGUCUGCUGGAGGGGUCAGGUGGGCAGCCUCGGAAGAGCCUCCGGCAUUCAUCCCGUAAGAAGGAGUGGAGCAAGAAGGAUCCUGUGGCUGGCUCCCCCUUUGAGCGGAGAGAAGCAGGGCCCAAGGGCCCCUGUCCUGGAGAAGAGAGUGAGGGGCUUGGGGACAGGGUUCCCAAUGGCAUUCUAUCUGGCAGUGUUGGGGGAGGAGGCCCCAGUGGGCCCUAUGGGGAUCCCCCAUACCCUUGCAAGGAAGAGGAGGAAAAUGGCAAGGACGGGAGUGAGGACAGUGGGCAGAGUGGUAGUGAGGGGGGCAGUGGCCACCCUGGCGCCCAUUACAUGUAUCGGCAAGAGGGCUAUGAGACAGUGUCAUAUGGAGACAACCUUUAUGUGUGCAUCCCUUGCGCCAAGGGCUUCCCCAGUUCUGAGCAGCUCAAUGCCCACGUGGAGACACACACCGAGGAGGAGCUGUUCAUCAAGGAGGAAGGGGCCUAUGAAACUGGCAGCGGGGGUGCUGAGGAGGAGGCAGAGGACUUGUCAGCGCCCAGUGCAGCCUACGCUGCUGAGCCCCGGCCCUUCAAGUGCUCUGUCUGCGAGAAGACUUACAAAGACCCGGCUACUCUACGGCAGCAUGAGAAGACACACUGGCUGACGCGGCCCUUCCCUUGUAACAUCUGUGGCAAGAUGUUCACGCAGCGUGGCACCAUGACCCGCCACAUGCGAAGCCACCUGGGCCUGAAGCCCUUUGCCUGUGACGAAUGUGGCAUGCGUUUUACCCGCCAGUACCGCCUCACUGAGCACAUGCGUGUGCACUCAGGUGAGAAGCCAUAUGAGUGCCAGCUCUGUGGGGGCAAGUUUACCCAGCAGCGUAACCUCAUCAGCCACUUGCGCAUGCACACCUCCCCCUCCUAGAAGCCAAAGACCCGCGGGCACCCUCUUCAGACUCACCACUUGGGAACCCACGGAAGAAGCCAGGAGGCAAGGCAGGUGGGGCUGGGACCCUGAGGUCCAGUGAGGCUCCUAUCAGCUCCUCUGACCCAGCCUCCCCACACCCAGAGCUUUAAUCUAUAGUCUGUACCAAGGGAAGCCAAGAGGAGAGAAGCCGGCAGGCUUAGCUCCCUGUGUGUGUUGCUGGUGACCAUUCUACCUCCCUGUCCCAUCUAGGUCACCAGCUCCCUGUAAGGGGCUUCUGCAGAGCCAUUGGGAGUGGGUCACAUGGGUCUUACUGAGACCUGGUCCCUUUCCUGCAGGUUGGGUUGGAGAAGGGGAGUAAGGGGUCCCUCUCAAUGCUGGUCGGGGACCAGGCUGCCUGUAGCUGGGGUGGUAUCUGGAGGAGGCCCCCCAAGCAGGGACUGGGUAUGUGUGCGUGCACGUGUGCUUGUGUCUAUGUGCAGGCGCGUGUGACCCUGGCUCUGGGGAGCAGGUGCUGGGAGGACAGUUUCUCCUUCCCUCCUUGAGCCAGGGCAGCACUGCUCAUUGGCGCUGGGAUAGUCAGGGUGACCCCACCGCCUACCUCUCUACAACUAAAGAGCCCUCUGGGCCGAUGUUGCUGUUAUUCCUACUGAUCUGUUCCUUUUUUUUUUUUUUUUUCAAUUUUGGAUUCUGUUUUUAAACCAAAACAAACAAUAGUUUAUUUUCUUCCUGCCCCUUUGGGGCUGAGCCUGGGUCUGCAGACUGAAUGUAAUUGGGGCAGCUGCUCCUCCCCAUUGUCCUCCCCUAGCCCUGGUGGGCACUGUGGAACACACCAGUGAGCCCACCUCUUCAGGCCCCAGAGCCCUUUUUGCCUAAAGGCUUCCCUGGUCUCCAGUACUAUCUGGGCUGCCUCAGGAGUGCUUGCUUUUCCUAUAGUUUCUGAGGAAUAUUCUUUGUCUAGAGGUACUUGUUUUUUAUUAAGAGACACCCCAGUGUAACGUUUAUGGGACUGUUGGAACUGGAAGAUUCGUGGGGUGGGGGGGAGGCUAGACUUGCUGCCAGGGCUGUCGGUACUCUCAUUUUUCAUUUCUGUGUGUGUGGGUAAGUGUAUGGUGUGUGCAGUAUGUAUGGACAGAUGUUUCACUUUCUUUCCUCACUGAACAAGGUGGAGAGACUUCUGACCUUUUGCUACCUCUUGAAUUCAUGACAACAGCAUGUUGGUGACUGGCAGUUGAGGCCCCGAUGCUUUUGUUUUCCUCUGGUCAAGUGAGUUGGGCUCGGGCUGGCCCGAGUGUCCCUCCUGGGCCUCAAUGUUCUCUGAGGGGGCACUUGCUGCUCACUGGGCCUAGGUGAGAAAUAUGAGCUGCUCACAAGGGGCAGGUACCCCAAGCCUCCUGAGCAGCACAGGAGCUUAGAGGAGGAAGCAUCUCUGGACAGUUCCCUGGCAGGGCCAGGAUGAGGCGGAAGUGAGCCCCCACCCAUCCUGUGCCCUAGCUUUGAGCUUGGGAGAGCAGUAGCCCCCUCUUACCCAGUGAGGUGCAAGGAAGAGCUGACCAAAGCACUGGGGAACAGGAUUAGCACUUCUCAAGCAGUCCUGGCCCCCAGUGCGAGAGGCUUGCCAUCACCCAGGGGCUCAGCCCUUUCUGGAGUCCCACCCUUUGCUCCUCAACACAGACUUCUCAGCCAGCCUCAAACACCUCCAUGGGCCAAGCCAGGCUCAAGGCCAGACCAAGGUCACCAUGCUCUGUCCUAUGUCCUUGGCUAACUGGAGUCAGAGCUGGGCCAGCAGGCUUUAUAUUCAUUUUGCUUCAUGCAUUUCUUGUCAGUUUUCUUUUGAUUUUAAGUUCAGACCAAAUAACUCCAGAGUCAUCCCUUACCCCACUUCUCUAGAGACCCUCCAGCUGAAAACAGCCUGAGUUCAGGGACCCAGUGGUGAACGGUGUAUUCUUGGGAGUGAGGGAGCUCUGGCCACAUUAGGGCUCCUGGCUGAGUCCUCCAUGUGGUGCCUCCAGCCCUGAGCUUAUUCCUCUUCUCUUUGGGUGGGAGACAGAGAAUUGGACCCUAGGUUUUAGUUUCAGCAAGUCAGGCUGAGCACUUGAGUGGAGGAGACCCCUGGGCUCCAGCUCACUCAGGGAGGGAGUGGGGCCAUAUAAGACUCCCUGCUCUUUUACCCCACCCCAACUCUCAGCACUUAAGCCACACGACACAAAGUCUGUACCGCCUGGGAAUUGUGCACGCCCCUGGCCUCAUGCAUGGCCUCCUGGGCCAUGGGCAGCUGCAUCUGUGAGGUGACUCGAAAGUAGGUGAUUCCUCUGCAGAACUUCAGGGACUGGGAGCAAAGCCCCCUCACUCAACGAUGUCUUUGCGACAUAGUAUUGUACCCACCUUAGUAUUGUAUCAAGCCUUUUCUGUAUUUUGAGAAAGCAAAACACUAGUUUCCUAUUUAAGAUUUUAAGGGUUUGUGGGGCGGGAUGGGGUUGACACAACACUUAGUUUUGUUUUCUUUUCCUUUGAUUCCAUGUUGGGUGCGUGCUUGUGUGUACGUAUGUGUGGAGAUGUUAAGAGCCUCACAAGGAAAUUAGGCCGUAGGAGGCCAAGGCGGCUUACAGUUCUCUGCUUUAGUCACUUAAUUCCUGAAUGUUUCGGAGAAACAGGAAACAGAAAAUAGCAGAUGUCAAUGUCCUGUAGGAAAGAAGAAGAAAAAAGAAAAAAAAAAAAAAAAAAAAAAAAAAAAGGAAAGCUCAUACCCAAAUUCACAAAACCUAUUUUUAAACCAAAGCACAUUUUGAAUGAGUAUGGAACCUCAGUGGGCUCAGAAAAAAAAAAGAUGCUAAUAUAUUUAUCUCAUUGUUUACAUAAACUUUUACAGUUUCAGACCUCAACAGCUGUAAGGCCAGUCCCAGGGAAUCCUCAUCUUCUGCUGGGGGUCCUUCUGAGUUAGCCCUGGAAUGGCUCAUGGGCAGAGAAGGGCUGGAGAAGAGGCUGGAAGCCUCUGUGGGAUCCACCUGAGCCUUCAUCCUCAUCCCUGGGGGCUCUCCAAGCCCAGCUGGCACCAAAGAGCUUAGGCCAGUGCUGAUCAGCUCCUGAGGCCUCCUGGCCAGGACCUCAGUAGUCCUGGCCAGCAGCGGGUGGCAAUCAGCUCUGGUGACAGGACCUAAGUCUGGGUUUGGGCCCCAGGGUGGAGGUGAGCUCCCCCUCCUACUCUGCCAGUGAUACUUAGGGGGUGAAUUGAUGUGAAGGUUUCAUUCAAGCCAAAAAGCAGAGACCUUUGCACAGCUCAGUUGACUCCACUGGGCUUCCACCCCCCACCCCAUGCAGGGGAAGAGGCUUACUGAGCCUGAUCCUUACAACACAGACGGUGCAAACACUCUUAACAGUGUUGUUUUUGUAUCAAUAUGUUUGUGCAGUGAUGAAUGUAUUUAUUUCUCAGACUUGGGGUGAAUGGGCAAGUGGCAGGCCGGGCUCUGCCACUGCUCACUCCCACUGGACCGAGCCACAGCAAGGGCUCCUUCAGGAUUGCAAAAAAGGAAAAAAGAAGUGAUGAACCUUUAAGCAAAUAAGAAUCUCAGAGACUUGCAGCAUAGCCAUACACCUCAGCCUGUGAAAUGAGCACUCUGGACCCAGAUUGACUCCCGAUUUCAUACAGCCGGGGGUGUGUUUCCUGUCCAACACCACUGGGGGGCAGUGGGCCAUUUGCCUGAUGCCCCCAAACUGUCAGUAUUCACUGGACUUCAGGCCCCUGUGCAGGAGUGCGAUCUGGCUGGGUUUGCAGGCAGCAGACCCCUGCCCCCUCCUGUGGCCAUCCUGAUUGAUGAUGGGAGUGGAGGGGGGCUGGCCUGGGCAGCCAGAAGGGCAGGGCUCAGGGAACAAGUGCUGCAUCCGUCCUGCCCCCAGAUUUGGGGGACAAAAGCUAUAAGCACCAGGCCUGAGAAUAACAGGGGUGCUCAGCCCUGCCAUGCCCCACUGAAGGGACCAAGGUUGNCUUAGAGGAGGAAGCAUCUCUGGACAGUUCCCUGGCAGGGCCAGGAUGAGGCGGAAGUGAGCCCCCACCCAUCCUGUGCCCUAGCUUUGAGCUUGGGAGAGCAGUAGCCCCCUCUUACCCAGUGAGGUGCAAGGAAGAGCUGACCAAAGCACUGGGGAACAGGAUUAGCACUUCUCAAGCAGUCCUGGCCCCCAGUGCAAGAGGCUUGCCAUCACCCAGGGGCUCAGCCCUUUCUGGAGUCCCACCCUUUGCUCCUCAACACAGACUUCUCAGCCAGCCUCAAACACCUCCAUGGGCCAAGCCAGGCUCAAGGCCAGACCAAGGUCACCAUGCUCUGUCCUAUGUCCUUGGCUAACUGGAGUCAGAGCUGGGCCAGCAGGCUUUAUAUUCAUUUUGCUUCAUGCAUUUCUUGUCAGUUUUCUUUUGAUUUUAAGUUCAGACCAAAUAACUCCAGAGUCAUCCCUUACCCCACUUCUCUAGAGACCCUCCAGCUGAAAACAGCCUGAGUUCAGGGACCCAGUGGUGAACGGUGUAUUCUUGGGAGUGAGGGAGCUCUGGCCACAUUAGGGCUCCUGGCUGAGUCCUCCAUGUGGUGCCUCCAGCCCUGAGCUAAUUCCUCUUCUCUUUGGGUGGGAGACAGAGAAUUGGACCCUAGGUUUUAGUUUCAGCAAGUCAGGCUGAGCACUUGAGUGGAGGAGACCCCUGGGCUCCAGCUCACUCAGGGAGGGAGUGGGGCCAUAUAAGACUCCCUGCUCUUUUACCCCACCCCAACUCUCAGCACUUAAGCCACACGACACAAAGUCUGUACCGCCUGGGAAUUGUGCACGCCCCUGGCCUCAUGCAUGGCCUCCUGGGCCAUGGGCAGCUGCAUCUGUGAGGUGACUCGAAAGUAGGUGAUUCCUCUGCAGAACUUCAGGGACUGGGAGCAAAGCCCCCUCACUCAACGAUGUCUUUGCGACAUAGUAUUGUACCCACCUUAGUAUUGUAUCAAGCCUUUUCUGUAUUUUGAGAAAGCAAAACACUAGUUUCCUAUUUAAGAUUUUAAGGGUUUGUGGGGCGGGAUGGGGUUGACACAACACUUAGUUUUGUUUUCUUUUCCUUUGAUUCCAUGUUGGGUGCGUGCUUGUGUGUACGUAUGUGUGGAGAUGUUAAGAGCCUCACAAGGAAAUUAGGCCGUAGGAGGCCAAGGCGGCUUACAGUUCUCUGCUUUAGUCACUUAAUUCCUGAAUGUUUCGGAGAAACAGGAAACAGAAAAUAGCAGAUGUCAAUGUCCUGUAGGAAAGAAGAAGAAAAAAGAAAAAAAAAAAAAAAAGGAAAGCUCAUACCCAAAUUCACAAAACCUAUUUUUAAACCAAAGCACAUUUUGAAUGAGUAUGGAACCUCAAUGGGCUCAGAAAAAAAAAAGAUGCUAAUAUAUUUAUCUCAUUGUUUACAUAAACUUUUACAGUUUCAGACCUCAACAGCUGUAAGGCCAGUCCCAGGGAAUCCUCAUCUUCUGCUGGGGGUCCUUCUGAGUUAGCCCUGGAAUGGCUCAUGGGCAGAGAAGGGCUGGAGAAGAGGCUGGAAGCCUCUGUGGGAUCCACCUGAGCCUUCAUCCUCAUCCCUGGGGGCUCUCCAAGCCCAGCUGGCACCAAAGAGCUUAGGCCAGUGCUGAUCAGCUCCUGAGGCCUCCUGGCCAGGACCUCAGUAGUCCUGGCCAGCAGCGGGUGGCAAUCAGCUCUGGUGACAGGACCUAAGUCUGGGUUUGGGCCCCAGGGUGGAGGUGAGCUCCCCCUCCUACUCUGCCAGUGAUACUUAGGGGGUGAAUUGAUGUGAAGGUUUCAUUCAAGCCAAAAAGCAGAGACCUUUGCACAGCUCAGUUGACUCCACUGGGCUUCCACCCCCCACCCCAUGCAGGGGAAGAGGCUUACUGAGCCUGAUCCUUACAACACAGACGGUGCAAACACUCUUAACAGUGUUGUUUUUGUAUCAAUAUGUUUGUGCAGUGAUGAAUGUAUUUAUUUCUCAGACUUGGGGUGAAUGGGCAAGUGGCAGGCCGGGCUCUGCCACUGCUCACUCCCACUGGACCGAGCCACAGCAAGGGCUCCUUCAGGAUUGCAAAAAAGGAAAAAAGAAGUGAUGAACCUUUAAGCAAAUAAGAAUCUCAGAGACUUGCAGCAUAGCCAUACACCUCAGCCUGUGAAAUGAGCACUCUGGACCCAGAUUGACUCCCGAUUUCAUACAGCCGGGGGUGUGUUUCCUGUCCAACACCACUGGGGGGCAGUGGGCCAUUUGCCUGAUGCCCCCAAACUGUCAGUAUUCACUGGACUUCAGGCCCCUGUGCAGGAGUGCGAUCUGGCUGGGUUUGCAGGCAGCAGACCCCUGCCCCCUCCUGUGGCCAUCCUGAUUGAUGAUGGGAGUGGAGGGGGGCUGGCCUGGGCAGCCAGAAGGGCAGGGCUCAGGGAACAAGUGCUGCAUCCGUCCUGCCCCCAGAUUUGGGGGACAAAAGCUAUAAGCACCAGGCCUGAGAAUAACAGGGUGCUCAGCCCUGCCAUGCCCCACUGAAGGGACCAAGGUUGUCCUGUUCCCCAGAGUCACAUUGGGGCCAUUGUUACUGAACCUGUGAAUUGGAUGCCAGGAAUGAGGGAAUGGAGAGGGACCUAACCAGAGCCUCAGUCUGACAUUCCAAACUGGGUAUGGUAGGAGCUGUGGGAAUUGAGGCUGCCCAGGACCACCCCCCUUCCUAGGAUGCCCCCAGCUUCAGUCACCCCAGUUUAAUUUUCUACCAGGAACCCCUCCCCCUACCUCACCUUGCUAUUUAUUGCUGUAAUUUAUUGACCUCAAGAAUGCUGCAUAACAGACCUCACUUGGGGGCAAGGAGGAUCCCCAGGGCUCCCCCCCCUCCACUUGGUGGGGCCCUGUGGGGCCAGGUGCUGAGGGGAUCCUCUCUACCCCACCCAUCAUUUGCUUCCCCCCAGGGUCCCCAGGUUGGGCUCUGGCCCAUUCACAAAUACCUCGAGGGGAGGGGAAGAGAUGGGGUUAUAGCUGUUUUAAUUGGAACCGGAAGAGGGAUCAUGUCCUAGUUUAUACCCUUCCCAGAGAGGGGGAGGGACACCGGGAUCGCACUCCUGUACUGGCCACCGCCGUUGUCACUCAUCAUUGAGUUCACUUCUCUCUAGAGUUUGGAUAAAUUCAGGUCAGAGCUGCAGGUAUGCAGCCCUCCAGUGUCAUAGAAAAGCGAUUCGCUGAUGACUGAUCUCUCCAGAAGCGUGCAGUCUUAAUGUACAGUGAUGAG